AUACUAUCGGCAGGCGAUUCCACGAUCACGAAGGUGGUUUCCCCAGGCGAGGCUUAUCCAUUGCACCGGAUGGUUGACUCAUGAUUUCCCCCCAAAUGCGGAAACUCGACUGCAUAAUUUGUGCUAGUGGGGGACUGCGUUCGCGCUCUCCCCUG
rnacentral:snRNA from 1 species